CACGUAGGGCGCAAGCGUUGUCCGGAAUUAUUGGGCGUAAAGCGCUCGUAGGUGGUUUGUUACGUCUGCUGUGAAAUCCUAGGGCUUAACCCUGGGCUUGCAGUGGAUACGGGCAGACUAGAGGUAGGUAGGGGAGAAUGGAAUUCCUGGUGUAGCGGUGAAAUGCGCAGAUAUCAGGAGGAACACCGGUGGCGAAGGCGGUUCGCUGGGCCUUACCUGACGCUGAGACGCGAAAGCGUGGGGAGCGAACCGG
rnacentral:rRNA from 1 species